rnacentral:rRNA from 1 species
AUGAAGCCGCAGACGCAGCUCCUCCUCCUCUUAGCCUACAUCGCCGCGGCGCUGGUCAUGAGCCGCGGCGUCCUCGCCGGCGCCGGCACCAGCGCGAUGCCGGUGCGCACCAUCGAGGACGACGAAGUGGGCUUCGCAGAGGGUGAGGAGGAGGCGGCAUACCCACAGAGGAGGGUGCUUGCUUACAGCCCCACUUCCAUCGGCUACGGAGGGCUGGAGGCGAACAAGGCGGCGUGCUACGGCUCCUGCCCCGGCCGGGGGCAGCCCUACACCGGCCGCGGCUGCAAGGCCAUCUUCGGCUGCCGCGGGCGUUGA